rfam:Sarcophilus harrisii ctg7180002277357, whole genome shotgun sequence.
UAGGAUGUGGUGUAAUGGAAGCACAAAGGGUUUUGAGUUCUUUGGUAUAGGUUCGAGUCCUGUUGUCCUAG